AGAACGAACGCUGGCGGCAUGCCUAACACAUGCAAGUCGAACGAGACCUUCGGGUCUAGUGGCGCACGGGUGCGUAACGCGUGGGAAUCUGCCCUUGGGUUCGGAAUAACAGUUGGAAACGACUGCUAAUACCGGAUGAUAUCGAAAGAUCAAAGAUUUAUCGCCCAGGGAUGAGCCCGCGUAGGAUUAGCUAGUUGGUGAGGUAAAGGCUCUCCAAGGCGACGAUCCUUAGCUGGUCUGAGAGGAUGAUCAGCCACACUGGGACUGAGACACGGCCCAGACUCCUACGGGAGGCAGCAGUAGGGAAUAUUGGACAAUGGGCGCAAGCCUGAUCCAGCAAUGCCGCGUGAGUGAUGAAGGCCUUAGGGUUGUAAAGCUCUUUUACCCGAGAUGAUAAUGACGGUAUCGGGAGAAGUAAGCCCCGGCUAACGUCCGCGCCAGCAGCCCGCGGU
rnacentral:rRNA from 1 species